rnacentral:lncRNA from 1 species
CCAGUUAUCCAACAAAAUUCCAAAAGACCUCACUGACAAUGCAUUGUAGCUGACAAGUACCUCACCGGUGAUACACUCUUCCAGAUCCUACUUCGAUGAUAGGGAUUUAGUUAGCUUUAUGCUAAGCUUCUGAACAAGAUAUGCAAAGUGCAAAGUCCACCACAGAGUUUCCUCAAAAGUCUAAUUUUUACGACAUUAUAACCUUGAGCGAAGAUUGCAUCUGAAUUUGUUGAAAGGCGAAUGCCUACGAGCAGAGGCAUAUGGCUGCCCGUUUA